rnacentral:rRNA from 1 species
CCUACGGGCGGCAGCAGUGGGGAAUAUUGGUCAAUGGACGAGAGUCUGAACCAGCCAAGUAGCGUGAAGGAUGACUGCCCUAUGGGUUGUAAACUUCUUUUAUAUGGGAAUAAAAUGUUCCACGUGUGGGCUUUUGUAUGUACCAUAUGAAUAAGGAUCGGCUAACUCCGUGCCAGCAGCCGCGGUAAUACGGAGGAUCCGAGCGUUAUCCGGAGUUAUUGGGUUUAAAGGGAGCGUAGGUGGGUGGUUAAGUCAGUUGUGAAAGUUUGCGGCUCAACCGUAAAAUUGCAGUUGAAACUGGCAGUCUUGAGUACAGUAGAGGUGGGCGGAAUUCGUGGUGUAGCGGUGAAAUGCUUAGAUAUCACGAAGAACUCCGAUUGCGAAGGCAGCUCACUGGACUGCAACUGACACUGAGGCUCGAAAGUGUGGGUAUCAAACAGGAUUAGAUACCCUUGUAGUC